rnacentral:rRNA from 1 species
UACGGGGGGUGCAAGCGUUACUCGGAAUCACUGGGCGUAAAGGACGCGUAGGCGGAUUAUCAAGUCUUUUGUGAAAUCUAGUGGCUUAACCACUAAACUGCUUAGGAAACUGAUAGUCUAGAGUAGGGGAGAGGUAGAUGGAAUUCUUGGUGUAGGGGUAAAAUCCGUAGAGAUCAAGAAGAAUACCCAUUGCGAAAGCGAUCUACUAGAACCUAACUGACGCUGAGGCGUGAAAGCGUGGGUAGCAAAC